GCUCAAAUGCAGUCAGGGGGGGUAGCAAUACAUCACCGGCGGACGGGUGCGUAACGCGCCCCUAAAAAAGCCACCGACCCGGAACAACUGAGGGAAACUUCACCUUAAGAGGGAAGACGUCCCAACGGAGAAAGAUUGAUCGCCGAUAGAGCAGCCCGCGGCCGACUAACGAGGAGGAGGGGAAACGGGCCACCAAGGCGAGCAGGAGAGCGGAACGGAGACGAAGAGGCAGCCACCCGGGCACAGGAGACAACCCCCAGAGCCGGGCCGGAGACAGCGACACAGAAACCCCGGGCAGGCGGGGAAGGGGAAAAACGGAGAAGGGGGGCGAGCAAGAAAGGCCGACGCCGCGCACGAGCGAAAAGCGGCGAGGGGGCACAGGCAGAAGAGCGAGGAGGAAAGGCGGAGAGACAACAACCCGAGCGGACGCGGCCGAACC
rnacentral:rRNA from 1 species